rnacentral:rRNA from 1 species
CGUAGCAAUACGUAUUGUAAAGUGGCGCACGGGUGAGUAACACGUGGGUAAUCUGCCCUUGAGUUUGGGAUAACCCCGCGAAAGCGGGGCUAAUACCGAAUAAGACCACGGGGACCAAAGUCCCUGAGGUAAAAGAUGGCCUCUAUUUAUAAGCUAUCACUUGAGGAUGAGCCCGCGGCCCAUUAGCUAGUUGGUAGGGUAACGGCCUACCAAGGCUAUGAUGGGUAGCUGGUCUGAGAGGACGAUCAGCCACACUGGAACUGAGACACGGUCCAGACUCCUACGGGAGGCAGCAGUGGGGAAUAUUGCGCAAUGGGCGAAAGCCUGACGCAGCAACGCCGCGUGGGGGAUGAAGGUUUUCGGAUUGUAAACCCCUUUCGAUCGGAACGAAUCUCCUCUUGGUAAAUAAUCAGGAGGAUCGACGGUACCGAGAGAAGAAGCCACGGCUAACUCUGUGCCAGCAGCCGCGGUAAGACAGAGGUGGCGAGCGUUGUUCGGAUUUAUUGGGCGUAAAGCGAACGCAGGUGGUUUGGUAAGUCAGGGGUGAAAGUCCACAGCUUAACUGUGGCACUGCCUUUGAUACUACCUUUCUUGAGUGCAUG